AGCGAACGCUGGCGGCAGGCCUAACACAUGCAAGUCGAACGAACCUUUCGGGGUUAGUGGCGGACGGGUGAGUAACACGUGGGAACGUGCCUUUAGGUUCGGAAUAACUCAGGGAAACUUGUGCUAAUACCGAAUGUGCCCUUCGGGGGAAAGAUUUAUCGCCUUUAGAGCGGCCCGCGUCUGAUUAGCUAGUUGGUUGAGGUAAUGGCUCACCAAGGCGACGAUCAGUAGCUGGUCUGAGAGGAUGAUCAGCCACAUUGGGACUGAGACACGGCCCAAACUCCUACGGGAGGCAGCAGUAGGGAAUCUUGCGCAAUGGGCGAAAGACUGACGCAGCCAUGCCGCGUGAAUGAUGAAGGUCUUAGGAUUGUAAAAUUCUUUCACCGGGGACGAUAAUGACGGUACCCGGAGAAGAAGCCCCGGCUAACUUCGUG
rnacentral:rRNA from 1 species